rnacentral:lncRNA from 1 species
CCAGAAUAGAGCCAUGAUGAAUCACCCCCCUUGGCUGUCCCACCCCUCCCUAGACCCCUCAACAUUCAGGCUGCUACAAGCAAGGGCAAUAAACUGGGGGCCCACUGGGGCAGAUGUCUUAAUGGAGAGAGCAGAGAUGAAGAGAAAAUCCCUCAGCAGGUUGAGAGUGACUUCUGCAGGCUCAGGGCACAAAGCGAGAUCUCUUUGCACAGAAUUUCGAUCAUCCUUGCUACUUAAGACCCCCAAAAUGGUGGAACCCAGGGGUACAGAGAGCUAAGGAAGGAAAACUCCAUACUUGAGAUGCCUUCUUGAGCCAGCAGUGGCAGUAGUGGUGGUGGAGGCAACAGUUAGAUGAACUGACUGGUCCUGACCACACAGUGUCAAAAUAGAGAAUGGAGAGCAGGUCUGCUGUUUACCAAAGAAGACCGAAACAUGGCCCACGUGUCCAAUCCUUGCUUGGAGGAGGAGCCGGGAGGAUACCCUUGAUGAACUGCUCUCAGAUUGUUGGUCUAUGAAGGAGGUUAAUACAUGUCAGUUUGACAUUGUAUCAUUGAAUCAGAAUUGAACAUCAGAAAGAGUAAAAUUCCCAGGCCUUUUUUACCCUAGCCUGGGUACAAGCUCAAGAUGAUGCAGAAGGAGGAGCAAAGCAUGGGAUCCAAGAAAGUUAAGUUCCAGCUCAGGUCGAAGAGAAUCAUGUCUGUGAUCUGUGUCUUUGGUUUCUUCAUCUACAGCUGUCAUCUUGUGGGCUGGAGCAUGGUGGCCAGGAAGUGUGCAAGGGGCUCUGGUGUCCAUGCAGCCCUCAUAGACCUGAGGAGACUACUCUUUUGAGCUUCUGACCACCCAUCAGCAUUGGAUUAGAGAUUCUGGACUAAAUGACUUUCUCCAGGAAUAGUUGCUGGUGGACAAAAC